UUUCUCCAUUCCAAAUUCUCAGACACUGAAAGCAUCACUAGGACUUUGGAGGAGCUGACAGAGACUGGUACUUGAGUGACAUCAUGCUAGGCCCAGAGAGCCCUCAGGUCGGCUCUGUGGGACACUGAGCUCAGAUGCAGACAUUCUGGGUCUGAGAUCUAAGUCAAGCCUCAUGGAGGAAGAGUUCCAGAGAAUCCCAGCCUCUACACUGCCUGAAGCGGAGCCCCAACCCUGGAUGGAAUGCUGCAUCUCCGGGAUGACAUCUCCCUGGGAUCCUCUAGCUACUGCUUCAGUAAUCAUGGCUGUAUCAGCAUGGAACAAGGACUGGCCUGAAACUGCUAAUGUUCCUGUCUCAGUCACCACAGUGCAGUGCUAAGUGCAACGUUACAAUGAUAACAGAAACAUGAUAUUCUUCAUUUUGUAAAAUUAAAUUACUGCAUUUCUGCAGUAUUUCAA